UACGGGGGGAGCAAGCGUUGUUCGGAUUUACUGGGCGUAAAGGGCGCGUAGGCGGCCAGCACAAGUCAGUUGUGAAAUCUCCGAGCUUAACUCGGAAAGGUCAACUGAUACUGUGCGGCUAGAGUGCGGAAGGGGCAACUGGAAUUCCUGGUGUAGCGGUGAAAUGCGUAGAUAUCAGGGGGAACACCGGUGGUGUAGACGGCUUUCUGGACCGUAACUGACGCUGAGACACGAAAGCGUGGGUAGCAAACAGG
rnacentral:rRNA from 1 species